rnacentral:piRNA from 1 species
UGCUCCUUCAUCACUUUUGCAAGUGUUCGG